CACGCACCGAACUGCGGCUGACUUCAGCACCACGGAGAGGGAACGAACACGGGACCAGAGUCCGCCCUUUACCGUGCUGGAACCGAGGAUGCUCUCUGAAACUAACGAAGCAUCAGCGCAAGGAAAUAUCUUAACCCGUUGUGGACAAUAUCUGUGCUGAUUAAGAGGUCAAACUGAAGAAAACCGCAUGACAGCAAUGAAUUCCAUGAACAUGACCAGUUUUAACAUCACAGACGAGGCCGGCCAUGCCUACCACUACUCAUUUCUAAAUGAUGAGCCACUCUACAAGGAGUUCAAACCCAUGCCUCGGGACCUCAUCCCUUUACCGAAGGCAGUGUUGUACCUGCUGAUGGGUGCACUGGUUGUCGUGGCAGUUGCCUAUGCUAUUGUAGGGCACCUGAUUAAGGACUUGGCAAAUGAUGUUGUGGAUUGUGUGCUUGGUCCCAACGAAAAUGACCUGGAGAAAGAUAGUGACCUCAGAUGCAUCACUCCUAUACACAUGCCCCCGGCGAUACCCAUGUCCCACUCCAACGCCUUCCAUGUUUGGGACCAGGAUGAUGUGAUCAUCCCUCUGUCCCCUGAAGAGAGUGCCCAGACAAGUCCACUGCUGCUGGCCGCGCUCCCGUACAUCCCGUCCUUCUACCCUGCUCACAACUCCUAUGCACUGCCCAAUGAUGCUGGACCCACUAACAGCCUCCCACGGGAGAUCUAAGAGGACCAAUCAAGCCCCAUUGCUAAUCAAGUCUUUUUAAUUCCAAAGAAACAUGGUCAUUCUGACCACCAGGACUUUAGAGGAAGACCUGGCAGGGUGGCAGUGACAUUUCCUCUGCACCAUAAUUGAGUUCCAGCAUGAUUACAACAUGUUCUACAUUCACCAAAAUGGAUCUCAAGAGGAAGGAUUACUGGGAGCCCAUUGAGUUUCAUGUACUUCCAAAACAAAAAUCUUCUCAUUUUUUAAUUUUUUUCCCCCUCUUACAUAAUGCCUUUGCGUCAAGCUUGUGCUGCAAAGCCCUCAAACUCAACCUAUUUAAGACAUGUCCCCUAAGGAGUGUCAGCUUUCAUUGGCGCCCUGGACAGAAAUGCAUUUAAUGUUCUGAAGUUUCAAGUGUACAAGGACAAACUGGAAAAUUAAGACGGAAAAUGUCUGGAGCAUUAAGAUUCUUGACAAAGACAAAAGAAAAUGGCAGAAUGGACAAAGCACUGACUUUGUGCUCACUUUCUCAACUGAACUGGGGUAAAACGUGAACACAAUAUCCAGAAUUAGUACAAAAAAAACUCUCAAAUCAGUAAUUUGUAUUUGCUGGUGUAGUAUUAUGGGAUGUUGGUGAAGUAUUACAAAGUAUCUCCUCUGUUUCAUUUAAAUCUACACCAAAUCCACCCAAACCAUUUGUGGGUAUUUCAGGUACAUUGUUUAGUGACAAACCUGGGUACGAUAGGCAGUAAACCUCUUAACAGAAUAGCCCUAAUACAAUCAAUCAAACCACAGAGGUCUUCUAUUAGAUUUAUCACUUACACGUGUUUGUAAUUAAAUCAGAUACUUGGAAAAUGUCUUCAUGUUCUUCUUUUAAACCAUACCUGUUGAACAUAGUACGAGAAGAAAAUAGGGUGCAUCAAAGUCCUCUCAGCAUCACUGGAUCUUAUUGAAAUCUGUUGUGUUGUUUUCUCAUGUACACACUGGCAGGAUUACCUUGUACAUUUUUACCCUGCCUGCUUGUAAACAAGACCGUGGGCUUUUCGAGGAAACUCACCACGCUCUUGUUUCCCCACUCUGGUUUAGUGCUAUUUGCAGACGAUGGGAGAUUAGCUCACCUCUUAGCCAGUACGGUAAAUCUUGGGAGUUGACUAAACAAGAUUUCAUCAGUCUCAGGGUAUUUCCUUCCAACUUGGCCAUUCAAAACAACUGGCUCAGACGGCCCACUCUUCCUACAUAUUCAGUUAAAUAAAGGUCAAUCCUAUAAUGAAAGAUUAAAUGUG
rnacentral:lncRNA from 1 species